ACCCCCUUAGUACAAUACAAUACAAAAGACUUCCACUCAUUUAAUCCUAGUUUAAACCUAGGAGGGGGUA
rnacentral:tRNA from 1 species